UUCAGCAGUCAAGAAUAUUAGUCAAUGCUCGAAAGAGUGAACUAGCUAACUGAAAUCAAUUUAUAAAAAUUGAUAACAUAAGGGAAAAUAAUGAUAUUACCUUAUUAUUAGUGUUGUCCAAAUCUGGUGCCAGAAGACUCGGUAAGGCCAGAGACACGAACGUUAAUCGUCUUAAUCAGGCGUAAAGGGUUUGUAGGCGGCUUUAAAUUUACUUAUAAAAAAGUAAAGAAAAAAAGCUAGAAUCAAAUAGAGGAUAAAUUAAAUAAUGCUUAGAGUAGGUCUGAUAUCCUUAGAUACUAAGUAGAAUAUUAAAGGCGAAAGCUUUUUUCCAUUAAUGAUUGACGCUCAGAAACGAAGGUGAGGAUAGGAAAUAGGAUUAGAUACCCAAAAUACCCCUCUCUGUCAACGAUGAAUGGUAGUUAUUAGUAAUAAAUUAUUAAUGGCAAUGUUAACACGAUAACCAUUCCGCCUUGUGAGUACAACUGCAAAGUUGAAAACAAAAAAAUUAGUCGGUUUCGGAGCAAACGAAGUGAAGCAUGUUAUUUAAUUCGAUAAUCCGCG
rnacentral:rRNA from 1 species